GACGAACGCUGGCGGCGUGCCUAAUACAUGCAAGUGGGACGCAAGGAAACACACUGUGCUUGCACACCGUGUUUUCUUGAGUCGCGAACGGGUGAGUAACGCGUAGGUAACCUGCCUAUUAGCGGGGGAUAACUAUUGGAAACGAUAGCUAAUACCGCAUAAUAUUAAUUAUUGCAUGAUAAUUGAUUGAAAGAUGCAAGCGCAUCACUAGUAGAUGGACCUGCGUUGUAUUAGCUAGUUGGUAAGGUAAGAGCUUACCAAGGCGACGAAACAUCACCGACCUGGGAGGGUGAUCGGCCACACUGGGACUGAGACACGGCCCAGACUCCUACGGGAGGCAGCAGGAGGGAAUCUUCGGCAAUGGACGAAAGUCUGACCGAGCAACGCCGCGUGAGUGAAGAAGGGUUUCGGGUCGUAAAGCUCUGUUGUAAGUCAAGAAAGUGUGGGAGAGUGGAAAGUUCACACAGUGACGGUAGCUUACCAGAAAGGGACGGCUAACUACGUG
rnacentral:rRNA from 1 species